rnacentral:misc_RNA from 1 species
GAAAAUAUUGCAGCUAUAUAUAUAUGAUGGUUCUUCCCACAACUCUAAGAUGAAUAGUUAACUUUUGGGCAAAAACACUACAAUCAAGUCCGAAUCUUUGUCAAACCUGCUUUUUAUGUGCAGCUGUGCUUGGUCCUUGGCGUCAUUUUAUAUAAUAAAAGAAAUUUGUGAUGGUGGGAAGGUGUUGGGUUUGAACCUUCCUUGGCUAAGAUACUGCAUAAAAUAUCUUAAGAUGUAACUAUAUUUUGC